UGCAGUGGAGCGACGAACCAGGGCUUGCCCUGGGGCAGAGCCGCGAACGGGUGAGUAACACGUGGGUAACGUGCCCCGAUGACUGGGACAACCCGGGGAAACCCGGGCUAAUACCGGAUAUGCCCCCUCACAUCGGUGAGGUGUGUAAAGGAAGCUUCGGCCUCCGCAUCGGGAUCGGCCCGCGGCCCAUUAGCUUGUUGGUGGGGUAAUGGCUCACCAAGGCGUCUAUGGGUAGCUGGUCUGAGAGGACGAUCAGCCACACUGGGACUGAGACACGGCCCAGACUCCUACGGGAGGCAGCAGUGGGGAAUCUUGCGCAAUGCGCGAAAGCGUGACGCAGCAACGCCGCGUGGGGGAAGACGGCCUUCGGGUUGUAAACCCCUUUCAGUUGGGACGAANGUCGGGCGGUGAAUAGCCGUUCCGGCUGACGGUACCUUCACAAGAAGCCCCGGCUAACUACGUGCCAGCAGCCGCGGUAAUACGUAGGGGGCAAGCGUUGUCCGGAAUCAUUGGGCGUAAAGGGCGUGUAGGCGGCCCGAUAAGUCCGCUGUGAAAGUCAAGGGCUCAACCCUUGAAUGCCGGCGGAUACUGUCGGGCUAGAGUCCGGAGA
rnacentral:rRNA from 1 species